rnacentral:lncRNA from 1 species
UGACAUGUCAUCACUUCAUUUUUUUGCGCCUGCGCAUAAAUCUGAGAAACGUGAGUUUUGUCUUCAUUGUUUAUCUAGACAUAGGAUAGGUUGUGUGAAAAUAUUACUGAUGUUUAACGUUAAAAAUGGACCAAAAGAUUAAUGCUAAACAACAUUUGACAUGUUUGAACGAACAUAAAUAGAUUAUUUACUAGGUUUUUUUAGCUUUUCGGCGUGAUUUUACAGUCCCCCCACCACGUUUUGUGGGAGCAUAAUGAACGCUAAGUACUUGGUGUUAUUUGGACAUAAAUUAUGAACUUUGUCAAAAGAAACCACAUUUGUUCCGGACCUGGGAUGCCUUCCGGACCUGGGAUGCCUGCCUUCUGAUGGAGAUAAUCAAAGCCACCAGUGGAGGACAAGCCCUGGGACCACACCACAGUACUGAGUGAUUACACCAACCAGCCACCAGUGGAGGACAAGCCCUGGGCUAGUUAUACAGGCAGCAGCUGAAGUAGGAUUAACCCAGUCUGGAGUGGAGGCAACAGCCAGCCAGCCCUGUCUGAGGUGGGAGAGGGGAGAGCAGCAGGGGAACAGCCAGCCAGCCCUGUCUGAGGUG